GCCGGGGUGCCCGAGUGGACCAAGGGGCAGGCCUGGAGAGCCUGUGCUCCAUAUGGGGCGCGUGGGUUCGAAUCCCACCCCCGGCG
rnacentral:tRNA from 1 species